rnacentral:rRNA from 1 species
UUGGAGGGCAAGUCUGGUGCCAGCAGCCGCGGUAAUUCCAGCUCCAAUAGCGUAUAUUAAAGUUGUUGCAGUUAAAAAGCUCGUAGUUGAAUUUCGGGGUCAAUAGGUUGGUCAUGCCACUGGUAUGUACUGGUCUCACUGAUUCCUCCUUCCUGAUGAGCUGUAAUGCCAUUAAUUUGGUGUUGCGGGGAAUCUGGACUGUUACUUUGAAAAAAUUAGAGUGUUUAAAGCAGGCUAACGCCUGAAUACAUUAGCAUGGAAUAAUGAAAUAGGACGUUCGACCCUAUUUUGUUGGUUUCUAGGAUCGACGUAAUGAUUAAUAGGGAUAGUUGGGGGCAUUAGUAUUCAAUUGUCAGAGGUGAAAUUCUUGGAUUUAUUGAAGACUAACUACUGCGAAAGCAUUUGCCAAGGAUGUUCUCAUUAAUCAAGAACGAAAGUUAGGGGAUCGAAGACGAUCAGAUACCGUCGUAGUCCUAACCAUAAACUAUGCCGACUAGGGAUCGGAUGAUGUUAAUUUUUUAAUGACUCAUUCGGCGCCUUACGGGAAAC